UACAGAGGGUGCGAGCGUUAAUCGGAAUUACUGGGCGUAAAGCGUGCGUAGACGGUUAUUUAAGUCGGAUGUGAAAGCCCCGGGCUCAACCUGGGAAUUGCAUUCGAGACUGAAUAGCUAGGGUACGGUAGAGGGAAGCGGAAUUUCCGGUGUAGCGGUGAAAUGCGUAGAUAUCGGAAGGAACAUCAGUGGCGAAAGCGGCUUCCUGGACCAGUACCGACGUCAGGCACGAAGCGUGGGAGCAAACAGGAAU
rnacentral:rRNA from 1 species